CCUGAUGCAGCCAUGCCGCUGUGUGUGAAGAAGGCCUUCGGGUUGUAAAGCACUUUCAGCGGGGAGAGAAGGCGUUAAGGUUAAUAACCUUGGCGAUUGACGUUACCCGCAGAAGAAGCACCGGCUACUCCGUGCCAAGCAGCCGCGGUAAUACGGAGGGUGCAAGCGUUAAUCGGAAUUAUCUGGGCGUAAAGCGCACGCGGCGGUCUGUCAAGUCGGAUGUGAAAUCCCCGGGCUCAACCUGGGAACUGCAUUCGAAAACUGGCAGGUCUAGAGUCUUGUAGAGGGGGGUAGAAUUCCAGGUGUAGCGGUGAAAUGCGUAGAGAUCUGGAGGAAUACCGGUGGCGAGGCGGCCCCCUGGACAAAGACUGACGCUCAGGUGCGAAAGCAGUGGGGAGCAAACAGGAUUAGAUCCCUGGUAGUCCACGCCGUAAACGAUGUCGAUUUGGAGGUUGUGCCCUUGAGGCGUGGCUUCCGGCUAACGCGUUAAAUCGACCGCCUGGGGAGUACGGCCGCAAGGUUAAAACUCAAAUGAAUUGACGGGGGCCCGCACAAGGGUGGAGCAUGUGGUUUAAUUUUCGAUGCAACGCGAAGAACCUUACCUGGUCUUGACAUCUCACAGAAACUAGCAGAGAUGACUUUGGUGCCUUCGGGAACUUUGUGAGACAGGUGCUGCAUGGCUGUCGUCAGCUCGUGUUGUGAAAUGUUGGGUUAAGUCCCGCACGAGCGCAACCCUUAUCCUUUGUUGCCAGCGGUCCGGCCGGGAAACUCAAAGGAGUACUGCCAGUGAUAACUGGAGGUAGGUGGUGGAUGACGUCAAGUCAUCAUGGCCCUUACGACCAAGGGCUACACACGUGCU
rnacentral:rRNA from 1 species